rnacentral:rRNA from 1 species
ACCUACGGGGGGCAGCAGUGGGGGAUAUUGCACAAUGGGGGAAACCCUGAUGCAGCGACGCCGCGUGGGCGAAGAAGUAUUUCGGUAUGUAAAGCCCUAUCAGCAGGGAAGAAGAAAUGACGGUACCUGAGUAAGAAGCACCGGCUAAAUACGUGCCAGCAGCCGCGGUAAUACGUAGGUGACAAGCGUUGUCCGGAUUUACUGGGUGUAAAGGGCGCGUAGGCGGACUGUCAAGUCAGUCGUGAAAUACCGAAGCUUAACUUCGGGGCUGCGAUUGAAACUGACAGCCUUGAGUAUCGGAGAGG